rnacentral:ribozyme from 1 species
AAAAAGACCUCAACAACAACAACAACAACAAAAAGUGUUCUUCAUUCUUCGUCUUCUUCCUCCUUCUUCUUCUUCUAUCUUCUUUCUUCUUCUCCUU